AGAGUUUGAUCCUGGCUCAGAACGAACGCUGGCGGCGUGCCUAACACAUGCAAGUCGAACGUGAUCCAGAGCUUGCUCUGGUGAAAGUGGCGCACGGGUGAGUAACGCGUGGAUAACCUACCCUGGUAUCCGGGAUAACAUUCCGAAAGGGGUGCUAAUACCGGAUAAGCCCACGGGCUCUUUGGAGCUUGCGGGAAAAGGUGGCCUCUAUUUAUAAGCUACUGUAUCAGGAUGGGUCCGCGUACCAUUAGCUAGUUGGCGGUGUAACGGACCACCAAGGCGACGAUGGUUAGCUGGUCUGAGAGGAUGAUCAGCCACACUGGAACUGAGACACGGUCCAGACUCCUACGGGAGGCAGCAGUGGGGAAUUUUGCGCAAUGGGGGAAACCCUGACGCAGCAACGCCGCGUGAGUGAUGAAGGCCUUUGGGUCGUAAAGCUCUGUCAGAGGGGAAGAAAUGAUAUAGUGCUAAUACCACUUUAUCUUGACGGUACCCUCAAAGGAAGCACCGGCUAACUCCGUGCCAGCAGUCGCGGUAAUAC
rnacentral:rRNA from 1 species